rnacentral:rRNA from 1 species
GACGAACGCUGGCGGCGUGCUUAACACAUGCAAGUCGAACGGAAAGGCCCCUUUGGGGGUACUCGAGUGGCGAACGGGUGAGUAACACGUGAGUAACCUGCCCUUGACUUCGGGAUAACUUCAGGAAACUGGGGCUAAUACCGGAUAGGAAUCCUUGCUGCAUGGUGGGGGUUGGAAAGCUUCGGCGGUUUUGGAUGGACUCGCGGCUUAUCAGCUUGUUGGGGGGGUAGUGGCUUACCAAGGCUUUGACGGGUAGCCGGCCUGAGAGGGCGACCGGCCACAUUGGGACUGAGAUACGGCCCAGACUGCUACGGGAGGCAGCAGUGGGGAAUAUUGCACAAUGGGCGGAAGCCUGAUGCAGAAACGCCGCGUGCGGGAUGGCGGCCUUCGGGUUGUAAACCGCUUUCAGCAGGGGCGAAGCUUGUGGUGACGGUACCUGCAGAAGAAGCACCGGCUAACUACGUG